UACGGAGGGUGCAAGCGUUAUCCGGAUUCACUGGGUGUAAAGGGUUCGUAGGCGGUGCGGCAAGUUGGGAGUGAAAUCUCUGGGCUUAACCCAGAGGCUGCUUCCAAAACUGCUGUGCUUGAGUGUGGGAGAGGCGCGUGGAAUUGCAGGUGUAGCGGUGAAAUGCGUAGAUAUCUGCAGGAACACCCGUGGCGAAAGCGGCGCGCUGGACCACUACUGACGCUGAGGAACGAAAGCUAGGGGAGCAAACAGG
rnacentral:rRNA from 1 species